ensembl:lncRNA
AGAAAUAACUCGCUGCACAACUGAAAUACCACCUCAGAGUAACUCAUCUGAAAGACACUGAGGAUCACAUUAGAUUGCAUGAAAUUUUGACAACACAAGAACGAAUGGCCUCAAGUUGCACAAGGAGAGAUUCAGGACGGAUAUUAUUAAAAAAAUACUUAUCUGAAAGAGUGGUCUGCGCUGGAACGGGCUGCCCAAGGAGGUGGUGGAGUCACGAAAAAGCACAGAGUAGAAUUUGAAAAAAAGGUGGACAAAGAUGAUCAAAGGUAACCAAAUAACUCACACAGAAGGGUGAUCUGUAAGAGCUGGGGCUCUCAAUCUAGAAAAGAGCCAACACAGAAGCACGUAAAAAUCACAGCAGACAAAUAGGAGAAUAAGGGAUAAACGAGCUGCCUCUUGCAUUGCAACAGGAAAGCCUCAGCUGGAAAUGAGCAUGUGGAAGUUCAACAUCAAAAACCAGACUGUGCACAGCUCAGUCAAACCUCUCUAAGCCUUGGCCAGUGAACAUCACUGAGUUGUGAAGAUUAUUCAUUUUAAAGAUCAAAGUGAACAAUUGCUUGAAGAAGCUCCAACUAAGUCCAUUAACAUUCCUUUUCCUGGGAAUCUCUUUUUGUACAAAGCUCAAAAUCCAGCCAAAAUCAUCAUGCAUUCAAGUGAUCAAUGAAUGAGCACUACAUACGGCAAUGAGGUAAAUGUUUGGGAAUGACAAAAACUAGGUAAGUAAGAAAAGGUACACUGCUCUCCUAUUAGCACAUUUCACAUUAGAGAAGGAUUCCAAGCAGCUUAAAAACAGAAAAUUAUGCCACAAUUUUGCAGAAUAAGAAAAAAUCACUGCAUUGCUAAGAGAAGUUUAAGUGUUGCAUGCAAAUCUUCACGACAAUUGAUUCGUAAGUAUGUUUUACUGCUCUGUUGUUGUGUUGUUCUCACUGGCAUUAAUUUGUGUUUUCCCGGGUAACUUAGAAUAAAAAAAUGACUACAGGUAAAAGAUUAGAAGGUAAAGAUUAGAGUUCUUUUUCCAACAUGAAUCCUGCCCUUUAUCAUUUAUGGAUAAGGCGGUGUUGCUCAACAAACAGCAUGGGCAUUAGCAGGUUAAUGAGCACAUACUCAAUGUUUUUGCACACCGUCUGAUGCUUGCUGUACAAAAUGCAAACUGUGAAACAAAAUGUAAUAAUUAGUUUUGUCUAUGUUAUUCUAGAGAACUCAUCACUAUGGUAUCUAAUUUAUUCACAAACAAAUUAAUUUUCACCAUGCUCCUCAGGGACAAGCAGGGCCAAAGUGCUGAAAGUAGUCAGUGUUAUAUUAGGAGGCAGCCUUCAUCCAAUAAUUUCCUUGCUUCUGAGUGCUGGAUUUUGAAGCCAUAAGCACAAGUUUCUGAUUCGAUAAACACAAGGUUUUUGAUGCUUAGAUUCUAAUGUGUGUGUGUUUAUUUUUCAAGGCAAUGAAGUUUAUAUUCAUUUCAUGAUCAUUUGCCACUUGAUUACAUGGAGUUAACUCACAGAGGAACUGCCUUUCCAAAGUUUCCCAGUCAAACUUGUAAUGAAUACUCCCCUCAUUUUGACUGAACUAUUUUGCUUUUUAAGAGAAGAGAAGGCAUGAACAUCACAACUUUCUGAUCAGAAUUUUCUGCUCAACUUCAGGACGAUACAAAUACUGGUCCUAUUAAUUUGUAAUUGAUUUAGAAGAUAAUCUUCAACAUUUACAAACUGCCAGUGAAAAUAGCGUAAGGUUCUGACUGCUACAAGUAUAUACCUAAAUUUAAAAAUCUUGCCUCUGUAGUUGAUAUUAUUGAACUUCUCUGUACUAAGUUGUCAUCAAUUGCAUCUAUAAUGUAACUUAUUCCUAAGUAUUCUUUUUGCUAAAGAAAGGAACCCACUGAAAGACAAAACACUCACAUCAUCCUUAGCACUUGAGUGCCAGCACAUUUUCCUGUGUGCCUGGUUAAUAGUAUUUCUUUCCCGGAAAAAAAAAAAAAAAAAAAAAAAAGGAAUAAAAAUAUAAACAUACACUAGAUUUGCACAACGUACAGUAUGAAAUUUAGUUUUAAAGGCCUGUUUUCCAGUCCCUGUUAUAGCAACUUAACAUGAUCCUAAUUUUUUAUGUUUUUUAAAUCUAAUAAACUAAAUCCCUGAAAAUAUGGUAGAACACAAAGGUCUUCUAGCUUAAAGCAUCCAUUAGUCAAUCAGUUUUGCUUUGCUGGGUAAACAGUCUUACCUUUUUGAAAACAAGGAAGUUUAUGUUAUAAACUCCUCUUGAGAGAGCAGUCAUUACUACAAUUACAUUUGACCUUUGUUGCUUCAAUUCCAGGGAAAAUAAUCGCAAUUCACAGAGUUAAUUAAAAAUACACAAUGCUGCAGAAAAAAAAGAAAAGAAAACUGUUUGAAAAUAGGCAAAAUUGUAUUCAGUAUCUAAAGCUCCAGGUGCAUCUAUUUCUUAGAUGAUUAGAUAAUUUUAAAGUAUCUCUGCUGUUGUAAUUACAGAAGUAGUUAUUAUUCUGCAGUUUCUCAGUUUUUUAGCCACUUGAAUACUAUGGUUUUAUUCUUCUGUAAAAAUCACAUCUGUUGACAAAUUAAGUGUUCCAUAGACUGGCCUGAACUGGAACUCCACUAUUUGCAUGUCACAGUUUUUCCAGAUACUUAAGUGUAUGUGCUUGUGUAUCUGCGUACACAAAUAGAUAUACAAGUUCUCUAUGUUCACCUUGAAACUUAACCGUUAGGUUUAAUGUAGACUCCAAUGCAAUGCAACACUAAAAUACUCAAUUUGCUUUCUCUUAAGAGAUUUAAAAAUAUAAGAAUAUGAAUUAUCUAUCUGCCCUAUUUGUGGAGGCUCCUGACUAUUUUGUAACUUUAUAAACAAUAAAUUCUAAAGUAACAAAUACAAGAGUUACAGCCAAAGGGUUUAGUCACAAUUGUGAUCUUGAUAACCAUGUUCACUUGAUAAACCAGAUACAGUGCUUGUCAAGGAAAUUUAUAACUACAUACUGUGUGCACUAUAUCAAAGGGCAGUGCACUCACAGGACUCUAAUGAGGAAGUAAACAAUGCUGAGGGUCAGAUCAGUAGGCUGCAACACGCUGCUCUCCACAGAGAAAAUAAUGGCUGAAUUAAAUCCUGUAUUUGGUAGCAGCGCCACAUGAAGGAACAUAUUUUACUCUUUAGACAUAUAAGCUGUUCUAGAAAACCAUUUCCUGGCUUAUUGUCACACAGGUCUUCUAUUGAUCACAACAAAAACAACACUGUGAUUGAUCCUUCUUGCUGUAGUAUUUCCAAUAUGCUCAUAAACUAAAAGUCCAGGUACCAUUUAUGUUGAAGUUAAUGGGACGAUAUGCUUGAGCCUAGGUUACUCAAUCUAUGUACAGUUUAAUAGAACAGAGUCUAACCUCUUUAUGUCUACUGGUUUUGCUGCAAUGGAACAGAUUACUUAAAUAGUACUGCAGAUAAAAAUACUACUUGAUAAUGCUGCUUAGAUAAACCUUUCACAGUGUAUUCACAUCUCCACUGAAUCAUACUGACCAUGUAAGUUUUUACUUCCUGGCUCUAGGAGAAGAGUGGCUGUCAUAUUUAUCACCACUGUGUUCAAUGUCCAACCUUUGUUAUUUCAAGCCCUGUCUCCUUUCCUAUCAGGCUGUGCUCCAUGUCACGUAUUUAUGCUUCUCCUUGAGCUUCACUGUGAUAACUGAGAGGUUUUUAUUCCUCUUAAGAGUUUAGCUCUCCUGUUGAGACACAUCCUAGGCAAACAUGCAACCUUUUCUCUAAAUAAAACCAGUCUUUGCUUGAUCGAACUUAGCACAUUAGCAUGAAACUCAACCAGAAAUGGAAAUUCAGGAGGAAAAAGAAGGAAAAAAAAACACCAGCAAACAAACAAACGAAAAUGCAUACCGUGUAGUUAUCAAUAAAGCGACCACUUUACUCUUGUAUAUUCCUUAAAUCUGUGCUUAGUUCUCUGAACCUGAUGUACAUAUGCAGUUCCCUGCUUUUCUGCUGCAAGGAACCAUUUGACAGGGACAGCCAUGUAGCUCCUUUUAGGUGUGCAACAUGAAGUGCUGCUAGAAGGAAAGACAAACCACCUUCAUCAGCAGCGUAAGGCUAAUCUCUUUCUCAAGAUCUCCAAGCUCUGUGAUGCUUAGGAAACAAAGCUGAGAAAAUAAAGUUAAUAUUGAAAAUCUAAUUUUUUCUUGGUUAAAUAAAAGGAGGAAGUACAGAAAAUGGCAGGAAUGCCAGAUAACAUCCAACGGGUACUCAUGUGCAUACCUUCAUUAAUGCAUUCUCAGGACAUAAAAAAGCAGUAGCAAAUGCAAAUGGUAUGUACAGCACAGCCUUGAUUUGAAUGGAAAGGUGCAAGGCAGCCAUAAUUUCAUGUAAGUUCUAUGAAAUGAUAUAUGGCUUCAGGAUCUUCUGACUGACCAGUAAAAGAGAGGACUUCUAAUUUCUUUCAAUCUAUCUGUCAAAAAUCCAACCCUGUAAUUAUAUGUGGAGCAGUGGGAGUGUGGAAAUGAAAAUAAGGAAAGGAGAAGAAUUGCGCAGAGAAAAAAGAAUUGAAGCAAAUGUGGAGUGGAAUUGCUUGCAAUUUUACCAUAAGUUAAAGGAUUUUAUUCAGCAGUACACUGUAAUUUUAAUUCUGUUUUUCCUGCCAUAUACCAACUCUUGAAGAAGUUACAGAAACAAUGGGAAUUAUCGUCAUAUUCAAUUCCACCCUGAAACAAACUCCUUCACUUUUAGCUAAAUUCAGAGGUGAGAAAAAUAGACAGCUCUCCAACAUUAGUUUCACUUUUUAUUCAUUUGUUUCAACACUUCGUGUAUAUUUUUAGUAAAAUCAUAUUUGGCCUCAACCUUACGAAUUUUAAAUAACAUUGAAGCACCGUCCCAGUUGUUUUUUACAGGCUAGAUAUGAUGAGGAUCCCAAGUAUUCCUGUUAACCAAGAAUAAACUCUAGGAAUUGGAAAACAGUCCAAGUCUUGGUCUGCAGCAUUAGGUUUAUUUGCAGAGAAAUUCAACUGUAUUAACAAUUCCUCCAAUACUCUGUGGCUCUGAUGAACAUUUCAGGGAAGGUAGUGUGUAUGUUUUCACUUUUUCUUAUACAAUGGAAACAGCAGUCCUUUCAUCAAGCACAAACUACAGUACUCAUGACAUGUGGCUAUCCCCAGCCCAAAAUACAUGUCAGGGAAGGGCAGUCAGAAAGGACAGGAGAACAUUAACAUGUGAAGAAAUCCCUCCCAAGCAGAAAAGGGCAAUGCUGGAUGUGAAUAUAUGAUUAUUAAAACCGCUGGAAUGUCAAAUGUAGAACUGACUAACUUCAGGUGAGAAAAUAACUCUUUUCUGGUAACUUCACUGUUUCAAAAAAGAGUGUGAGACUUGAGAAUCAAAUUGAAAUUAGGGUAUUUUACCAGUAAUUAAUCUUGAGCAGAUUUUUCCAAACAGUGUGAAUCUUCGGUUAAAUUCCCAACUUCUUCAGUUUGUCUUUACGCUGUUAAUCUUUUUCUUUUUUCUUAGAACACCAACUCAUGGUGGCAGUUAGGAAGGAUGCAAUAGUGAUUUAAAAAAAAACUAAAAUCCAUGUAUACGUAUACUUGGAAAGCACAUCGUCAGCUAAUAAUUUUGAUUGUAUUUUAAACUUGAUCUGAAAGCAAGGGCCAUUCCUUUGAAGUAAAGAAACUUGUUGACUACAAGACCAAUCCAGUUUGCUGACAACAAAUUUUGAGCUGAUAGUCUUUGCUCAUGACAAAAUCCAUGCACACACAAUCUGUACAUUAAAUAUUAUUUGGAAUGGAAUUUUAAAUAAAUGCAAGGAAAUUGAAAGUUCUAUAUAAAUCAGCCUACAAGGAAUAAAAUAUUUAUAAUAUACUUGUCUCUAAUAAUUCACUGGUUUCUUUUUUUAGUCAUUAUGUACAUUAUUCCCAGAAUUGAAUCUGAUACAAUACGUCUGACAAAGGGAUUCAUAGCAAAAUGGUGCUACAGCUGCUUCUUUUAAACUCACCUAAUUAUAAGCUCCAGAUGUCUUUCCUUUCUGGAGACUCAAAGACAACUCUAAUUUUAUUCACACAUACUGCUUGUCUAGGAUCAGGCUACACUGCAAUUCUCUUCUACCUAGAAAACAGAACUUUGUUUACAUUUGCAUCGUUGUACGUUCUUUUGAUUUUUCUAGUUUUUUCUGAUAUGCAUAAAAAUACUGUAUAUUCAUGCUAUGAAUAUAAAUAUAUUCAGAACGGCUGCAAAACACCACAAAGAAUUAUUGUCUUAAAGCUGGCACUGAUUUCAAGCAUAUAGAACACUCACUACUAACAACCAGCAUUGCUAAGGAUCAGGGGUAAAUUGACCUGAUAAACAUCCCAAAUGAAUCACUUAAUUUCAGCAUCACACUUGAGUGGGAAAAUGCAUUCGUUCUUCUACAACAGAACUACUUUUGGACAAUGUAUAGGAAAAGUUAAUUCCAUAAACAACAUGCAAACUGCUUUUUUUUUUUUUUCAUCUUAAUUUAGAUGAGCUUAUUUUACAUGCAAAAAAAAAAAAAAAAAAAAAAAAGAAUGCAGCUUUCACUAAAACGUCAAUAUACAGCAUGUUCUUUGCUGACAAACAAUGGAAUAGUCCAUACAUCAAAUGUAUGGACUGGCUCUUCUCCUUCCUCGAUUUCAGUUAGUUCCACAAAGACAAAAAUGUUG